rnacentral:piRNA from 1 species
UGAGGCCCAGGUUCCUUAGCUGCGUG